UGUGGGAGCGGGCUUGCCUGCGAUAGCAAUGGAUCAGUCGAUAUCAAUGUGACUGACCUACCGCUAUCGCGGGCAAGCCCGCUCCCACA
rnacentral:misc_RNA from 1 species